rnacentral:rRNA from 1 species
GAUGAACGCUGGCGGCGUGCCUAAUACAUGCAAGUCGAGCGAACAGACGAGGAGCUUGCUCCUCUGACGUUAGCGGCGGACGGGUGAGUAACACGUGGAUAACCUACCUAUAAGAAUGGGAUAACUUCGGGAAACCGGAGCUAAUACCGGAUAAUAUAUUGAACCGCAUGGUUCAAUAGUGAAAGACGGUUUUGCUGCCACUUAUAGAUGGAUCCGCGCCGCAUUAGCUAGUUGGUAAGGUAACGGCUUACCAAGGCAACGAUGCGUAGCCGACCUGAGAGGGUGAUCGGCCACACUGGAACUGAGACACGGUCCAGACUCCUACGGGAGGCAGCAGUAGGGAAUCUUCCGCAAUGGGCGAAAGCCUGACGGAGCAACGCCGCGUGAGUGAUGAAGGUCUUCGGAUCGUAAAACUCUGUUAUUAGGGAAGAACAAAUGUGUAAGUAACUAUGCACGUCUUGACGGUACCUAAUCAGAAAGCCACGGCUAACUACGUG